rnacentral:tRNA from 1 species
GGGGUUAUAGCUCAGUGGUAGAGCACAUGCUUAGCAUGCAUAAGGUCCUGGGUUCAAUCUCCAGUACCUCCA